rnacentral:rRNA from 1 species
GUGAAAAGCACCCCGACGAGGGGAGUGAAAUAGUACCUGAAACUGGAUGCAUACAAACAGUCGGAGCCCGCAAGGGUGACGGCGUACCUCUUGUAUAAUGGGUCAUCGACUUAGUCUGUCUAGCAAGCUUAAGCCGUUAGGUGUAGGCGCAGCGAAAGCGAGUCUGAAUAGGGCGUUUAGUCAGGGGAAGUAGACGCGAAACCUUGUGAUCUACCCAUGGUCAGGAUGAAGGUGCAGUAACAUGCACUGGAGGUCCGAACCAGUUGACGUUGAAAAGUCUUUGGAUGAACUGUGGGUAGGGGUGAAAGGCCAAUCAAACUGGGAAAUAGCUCGUACUCCCCGAAAUGUUUUUAGGAACAGCCUC